rnacentral:tRNA from 1 species
UCAUCGUAGCUUAACUCACAAAGCAUAACACUGAAAAUGUUAAUAUGGACAAAGAGUCCCGAAUGAC